GAAGAGUUGGUAUACUCAUACAAACAAAAGAAAACAAACAUAAAAAAAUAUAGUGCUAGUGGGUGAGAGAAAAGAGAAAUAGCUCAUGGCAGAGUGGAAAGAAGCAAAAGAAAGGAAAAACUUAACCUCAAUUUAGGGAGUUCACUGCAAUCCAAAUUUUCAGGUAGGAGAUGAAUCAUAGCUGAUGUGUUCGGAUAGCUGUUGUCUUGCUAUUUAUUGGAGUCGCUCUGUUAGGAUGUUGUUGGGGAGAAACUUUAUUUAAUUAUACUGCUAAAUUUUUAUAACAAUUGGACUAUGUCAUUUGAUUCAGUAUUUUCAAUUCGGACUUCGAAACUUAUAUUAUUUUUCUAUUUUCCGCCGCA